CCUACGGGAGGCAGCAGUGAGGAAUAUUGGUCAAUGGACGAGAGUCUGAACCAGCCAAGUAGCGUGAAGGAUGACUGCCCUAUGGGUUGUAAACUUCUUUUAUAUGGGAAUAAAACGUUCCACGUGUGGGAUUUUGUAUGUACCUUAUGAAUAAGGAUCGGCUAACUCCGUGCCAGCAGCCGCGGUAAUACGGAGGAUCCGAGCGUUAUCCGGAUUUAUUGGGUUUAAAGGGUGCGUAGGCGGCCUUUUAAGUCAGCGGUGAAAGUCUGUGGCUCAACCAUAGAAUUGCCGUUGAAACUGGGGGGCUUGAGUAUGUUUGAGGCAGGCGGAAUUCGUGGUGUAGCGGUGAAAUGCUUAGAUAUCACGAAGAACUCCGAUUGCGAAGGCAGCUUACUAAACUGCCACUGACAUUGAUGCUCGAAAGUGUGGGUAUCAAACAGGAUUAGAUACCCGGGUAGUC
rnacentral:rRNA from 1 species